rnacentral:rRNA from 2 species
GGGUUUCGGCUCGUAAAACUCUGUUGUUAAAGAAGAACAUAUCUGAGAGUAACUGUUCAGGUAUUGACGGUAUUUAACCAGAAAGCCACGGCUAACUACGUGCCAGCAGCCGCGGUAAUACGUAGGUGGCAAGCGUUGUCCGGAUUUAUUGGGCGUAAAGCGAGCGCAGGCGGUUUUUUAAGUCUGAUGUGAAAGCCUUCGGCUCAACCGAAGAAGUGCAUCGGAAACUGGGAAACUUGAGUGCAGAAAAGGACAGUGGAACUCCAUGUGUAGCGGUGAAAUGCGUAGAUAUAUGGAAGAACACCAGUGGCGAAGGCGGCUGUCUGGUCUGUAACUGACGCUGAGGCUCGAAAGUAUGGGUAGCAAACAGGAUUAGAUACCCUGGUAGUCCAUACCGUAAACGAUGAAUGCUAAGUGUU